AUUGAACGCUGGCGGCAGGCCUAACACAUGCACGUCGAGCGAGCGGCGGACGGGUGAGUAAUGUCUGGGAAACUGCCUGAUGGAGGGGGAUAACUACUGGAAACGGUAGCUAAUACCGCAUACCAUCAGAUGUGCCCAGAUGGGAUUAGCUAGUAGGUGGGGUAACGGCUCACCUAGGCGACGAUCCCUAGCUGGUCUGAGAGGCUGACCAGCCACACGGGAACUGAGACACGGUCCAGACUCCUACGGGAGGCAGCGGUGGGGAAUAUUGCGCAAUGGGCGCAAGCCUGAUGCAGCCAUGCCGCGGGUGUGAAGAAGGCCUUCGGGUUGUAAAGCACUUUCGGCGGGGAGGCGUUACCCGCAGAAGAAGCACCGGCUAACUCCGUGCCAGCCGCCGCGGUAAUUC
rnacentral:rRNA from 1 species